UUCUUGGCGUUCACUGCAAGCUAUAAACUCUGCAAGUGGUGCACCCGACGUGAUCGCCUUGAAGUUAUGCGUGAAAGGAGGAGAGCUCAUCAAUUUUCGGAAAAUCCCGAUGGAGUCUCACUCUGUCGCCCAGGCUGGAGUGCAGUAGCGUGAUCCCGGCUCACUGCAACCUCCGCCUCCCUGGUUCAAGCUAUUCUCCUGCCUCAGCCUCCUGAAUAGCUGGGAUUACAGGCGUGCGUCACCCCACAACAGGACUUAAUUGACCUUGCCUUCAAGGUGUACAAUAAUAGAGAAAAGUUACAAUUACUUGCCUCUCCUGUGAGACAAAACCCAGCUGCACCUCCAGCACACGAGAACUUCAAAAUGCCUAAGCGGCACAUGCCUAAACCGCAGUGGUCAAGCAUUCCUACAUGACCUUCUUCAUCAGGAUCUUGCUUCAAGUGCCAGAAAUCUGGCCACUGGGCCAAGAAAUGCCUGCAGCCCGGGAUUCCUCCUAAGCCGUAUCCCAUCUGUGCAGGACCCCACUGAAAAUCAGACUGUCCCACUCGCCUCGCAGUCACUCCCAGAGCUCUGGGAUCUCUGGCCCAAGACUCUCUGACUGACUCCUUCCCAGAUCUUCUCAGCUUAGCGGCUGAAGACUGAUGCUGUCCGAUCACCUUGGAAGCCUCCCGGGCCAUCACAGACACUUUGGGUAACUCUUACAGUGGAGGGUAUACAUCCAGAUGGCCUGAAGCAAUUAAAGAUCCACGAAAGAAGUGAAAAUAGCCUCAACUGAUGACAUUCCACCAUUGUGAUUUGUUCCUGUCCCACCCUAACUGAUAAAUAUAUUCUCCCCCACCCUUACGAAGGCACUUUGUAAUAUUCGCCCCUGCCCUUAAGAAUGUAGUUUGUAUGUCUAUCCCAAACCUAUAAGAACUAAUGAUAAUCCCACCACCCUUUGCUGACUCUCUUUUCGGACUCAGCCCGCCUGCACCCAGGUGAAAUAAACAGCUUUAUUGCUCA